UUGACAACGAUAAGAUCAAGCAAAUCAAAGCUGGACUUCGGAGCACUUUGUUGCUCUUCCCCCUGCUUGGUAUCGCUUGGCUAUUGACACCUGUAGUGGCAGUUUUCCCUCACGUCAAGGCUUUGGAAUACACCUUCAACCUGCUCAAUUCUCUUCAGGGGUUCUUCGUCGCAUGGCUCUAUUGCUUUCUCAAUUCGGAGGUUCGAAACGCCAUCAGAGAGCAUGUUCGCAAAUCUCGUGAAAGCAGGGCUUCGAUCACCAAUCCCAGUACAGUUUCAACA